CUGGGAAAUCCCGGUCCUCGCGCCUGGAGGACUGAGACCUGGCCUCCCUGGUUAGCUCCUUGAGGCCACUUCUGUGCUUGCACGCAGCCACCUGCUCUCAGAAGCAGCAGUGGUUCAUCAAAUCCCUCUCGCUCAGGAUUCCUCUAACACCUUCCCAGCACACACGCAUACACAGCCAAAGAGUUGUGAAGCUGGGGUUCGAAUCCCUAUGCCCCAGGGCCCACGGGGAAGGGCCAGUCACCGCAGGUGUGGAUGAGCUGAUUCCUCAGCCUUUUUACCAACAGCCAAGGAAUGUGGGAAAGACGGAGUUUAUUCGGAUCAGAGUACAGAUCCAGAGGGAUGGCGCAGGUCUGCAAGGGGAGUGGGAACAAUUUAUUGAGAAAAAGCUUCUGUCUAAGAGAGGCAGAAGGGGGACAGCAAAGUACAUUGGCUGGGUCGGACACUGUCAAGGCCAACUGGCAAGGCCUUUCACUCGGGCCUCACAAAAGGCUCCUCAGACUCAGUUAACAUCAGUGCUGUGCCUCGCGACCGCCCUAGUGCCGGGCCAGGGCUGCGUCACCAGAGCAAUGCCGAGACCUAACCCUUUUGUCAACAAACCUGCCUCAAUCUUCUGACGGAGCCAGCGGUCACUAGUCGAACAGUACCUGAGGAGAGGGUUCAGGAGAGCAUGAUCUGCGGUGGAGCCCGGGGUAAGGAGCACCUCCGUCACCAGGGGGGAGCGGUGGACACGCGUGAAGGACAGUCCUGGCUUUGCUUCUGUGUCCCCGAUGUGACAGUCUCGGCUCAGAAGUCAUGAGGCCAAGACUUUCCCCCACUUGUCUACUGGGUAAAGAGCCUGGCUGCGUGGACGGAGGAAACCGUUUUUUAUGCCUCGAUUUCCCCCUAUUUUUCUAUUCGUGUUUUCACCACAUGAAACAUUAAAUGUCCAAUACCAUGCUUUAAGUCUUAGAUUAUGAGUUUCGUUUUUGUUGUUUCUAGUCCGGUACUGGGAGUUGAGACAGGCUGUCUCUAAGUAUUGAAAUUGUCUGGGGUGGGCCCAAACUUGCAGUCCUCCUGUCUCAGCCGCCAGAAGGGCUGAGAUUACAGACUCAAGCCACCAUUCCCUUGCUUUUUGUUUGUGACAGGUCUCACUUUGGCUUCCAGGCUCUUUUUUGAUACCGGGGAUCGAACUCAGGACCUUGUGCUUGCAAGGCAGGCAGCCGAACCACUGAGCUAAAUCCCUUUGUAAGCCACCCUGGCUUCGAGUUUGCAAUCCUCCUGCCUCAGCCUCCUGAAUACUGGGGUUACAGAUGUGUGCCACCAUACCUUUCAUGCAGUGUUUUAAAAUUAAUACUCCAUUCAGUUUAUGGGACAGGCAGUGGAACCACUGAGCUAAAUCCCCGGCCCUGCAUUCAGUUUAGAAAAGACAGCUUUUAAUGAAAUGUUUUCACAUAAAGGAAUAUGAUCCAGAAGCUGCUGUGCGGCCAUAUUUGUUACUGGGAUUUCAUUAUAGUCUAAAGUUUGGAAGUUCAUCCUCGUGCUUUGCCAUCUUUUUGUGCGUCCUGGAAUUUGAGGACAGAGGUCUACAGGUGAGGAGAUGGCUGUGUCUGUUGAAUCAGGAACCCAGAUUCCAGUCGCAGGUGUGACUGGCUCCUUUAGGUAAAACUGGGGAUCCUGGGAGAUUCUUGGCCCCCAGUGGUGGGGAGGGAGUGGGGCUCUGAAGUGCACUGGUCCAAAGGAGGAAGCUGGGUUUUAAGGAACUGGCUAUGUAACUGGUGGGUGACAGAACGAGGAUGAGUUCCAGGGGCCGGCAUUCGAUGACGGGGAAAGUUCUUUCCCUACUGCAAGGCUCCAAGAGCCCAG
rnacentral:lncRNA from 1 species